CUGACCUCGAAUCAGAUGGGACUACCCGCUGAACUUAAGCAUAUCAAUAAGCGGAGGAAAAGAAACUAACAAGGAUUCCCCUAGUAACGGCGAGUGAAGCGGGAAGAGCUCAAAUUUAAAAUCUGGUAGUCCCUGGACUGCCUGAGUUGUAAUCUAGAGAAGUGUUUUCUGCGCUGGACCGUGUACCAAGUCUCCUGA
rnacentral:rRNA from 1 species